CUGCAUGAAUACGAAGCAUAUUUUUCAUGUAACGGAGCAAGACUAACGUCCGUUUUACUUUUACUAGAUGGUAAACAGUAGCACAAAGCUGACAUGUGGAUGUGAAGUGCACGAAUGGGAAAGGCUGGCGUGCAGAAAUAUGAAGGUCCAGACACAGCGGUCGUAUAAUCAGUCACCCAAACUCUUGCCCCGGGGGCUAAAAGUCAAAGGAUCGCCGAGACCUGAUGUAACACUUGUGUGAAUCUCCCCUUUGAAACUUCAAACUCCAGUUUGUGAACAAAGUCUAUCUUCUGAAUAGGAAUCUCCGACCACUGAGCAAACUCCAUUUGUAACCGCUGCCUAUUUGUACCUUCUCCUCAAUGACUACAUUUCAUUUCCCCAAGUCCGGUCCGAAAGGCAAGCAGCAGAGAAGCCCAGUAAAAGUCAAAAUGCGAGGCGGCGAUCAUGGCGGCCCAGAGGAGUUGAGAAAGAUGUGGAAUAUAAGCUGUUGGGAGGACUUCUGACAUUCCGUGUCUUUCUGCAGCACGGUGGAGAUGUGUCUGUGAGGCACAUCCAGGAGCUUGUUGACGUUGAUAAGAGUAAAGCAGAAGGAGACCAUGUGCUGCCUGCAGAACAAAACAGGGCUGCUGCAGUAGAUGGAGGAGAUAGAGAGUCAAUUUAUGGUUUCCACUCAGACAUUUUCAUUUUCUGAUGCAUCAAACUUUGGGAGAGCAUUCUCACUACGGUUCACCACAUGGGAGGAGGGUUAACACAGGCAGCACAGAGGCAACAGAGGCUGUUCUGGAGCAGAAAGGAUGUCACUGUAACCUCUGUUACCCGAUAUCAAUCAUGUCCCGACAGCCAAUGGGAAAGGCCCACCCCCAUGUGAAAUUGGAAUAUAUGGCUAAAACAAAAACUCUGUAUUGAAACAGUAAACUGAGCACUGAAAGCAAGGAAGAGGAGAAAGGAAAAACAAAGUAUUACAGCAGGCGUAAAAACUUUCUUUUUGAUUUGGUAAAACUUUCAGGGCUUUUUUUUGUUUUUUUUUUAGUAGUUUUAUUCACAUUUUCAGUUUUUUCUUGAAAUUAUUUUUCAAAUGUUUCAAAUGCUAUUUUUCCGUCAUAUUUUCAAUAUUUUUUUCAAGUUUACAAUGUGUGCUUUCGAGUUUAAAACAGUUUUCAAAUUUUUGAUUUGUUUUUUCAGAGUUUUAAUGUGAAUCUUUCUAAUUUAUAAUCUGUUUUUUGUCCACUUUAAGCAGAUCCUGAUUUGACCCCAUACAUUUGCCUCCAAACAAGAGAGAAUGAAAACUGUGUUAUUUUACCUAAAGGUUAUGUGAUCUGCUUUUGUAAUAACUUAGCAACGUUUCCUGAUGUGUUUGUAUGGUGGAUGAAGAGUUUGGAAGUCACGGCAUACAUGGUUAUGAAAUGUUACUGAUUAUGUGUGAACUCAACUGUCAAUCUUUAAAUGUUGCUGCUGUAAACCUUUAUGUUCAAGUUUUUAAUUUGAAAAUGUUUAUUUAAGGUUCCUAACAGUAGAUUAGGAAGCACUACAUUAAUAAACUAUGCCCACUUGA